rnacentral:piRNA from 1 species
UAAAGUGGUUAUUUUGGUGCG